rnacentral:rRNA from 1 species
UACGUAGGGAGCAAGCGUUGUCCGGAAUCACUGGGCGUAAAGGGCGCGUAGGCGGCUCAUGAAGGCUGUGGUGAAAGUCCGGGGCUCAACCUCGGAUCGGCCGUGGCGACUCGUGGGCUGGAGCACUGUAGAGGCGGGUGGAAUUCCUGGUGUAGCGGUGGAAUGCGCAGAUAUCAGGAGGAACACCGAUGGCGAAGGCAGGUCUCUGGGCCAUUACUGACACUGAGAAGCGAAAGCAUGGGGAGCGAACAGG